rnacentral:lncRNA from 1 species
UAGAGAUGGAAGGUGGUGGAGUAGAGAUGGUAGGUGGUGGUCUGUGGUGGUGUAGAGAUUUUAGGUGGUGGUCUGUGGUGGUGUAGAGAUGGUAGGUGGUGGUGGAGAGAUGGUAGGUGGUGGUGUCGAGAUUUUAGGUGGUGGUCUGUGGUGGUGUAGAGAUGGUAGGUGGGGGUCUGUGGUGGUGUAGAGACGGUCUGUGGUGGUGUAGAGAUGGUCAGUGGUGGUGUAGAGAUGGUAGGUGGGGGUCUGUGGUGGUGUAGAGAUGGUAGGUGGUGGUGUAGAGAUGGUAGGUGGGGGUCUGUGGUGGUGUAGAGAUGGUAGGUAGUGGUCUGUGGUGGUGUAGAGUUGGUAGGUGGUGGUCUGUGGUGGUGUAGAGAUGGUAGAUGGUGGUGUAGAGAUGGUAGUUGGGGGUCUGUGGUGGUGUAGAGAUGGUAGGUG